rnacentral:rRNA from 1 species
CGUGUAGGCGGCCAAGUAGGUCCGGUGUGAAAACUCGAGGCUUAACCUCGAGAUGUCAUCGGAAACCAUUUGGCUAGAGUCCGGAAGAGGAAAGUGGAAUUCCUGGUGUAGCGGUGAAAUGCGCAGAUAUCAGGAAGAACACCAAUGGCGAAAGCAGCUUUCUGGGACGGUACUGACGCUGAGACGCGAAAGCGUGGGGAGCGAACA